UUUGUUUCCAAACUUUCAACAAUAUUAAGCUUAACACAUCAUAUAAACAGAAGAGAAGAAUGGACGGUUAUUCAUGUCUACAUUCAACUCCGUCAGAAGAUAACUUGAAAAUUCAUUGGAGCAAGGACAACGAAACCUGAAAGCAAAACAGCAAGGAACUUUUGCGCAUGCUACGAUGAUGCUAUGUCACCCUACCUUGCACCAUACCAGACAUAUAUACAAGUUUUACGAAUGAAAGAGAGUGCAAGUUAGCAAAUUUACACUAAUGUGCGCCAACCCUCAACUCCAAAGAGAGACUCUAAAAACAUAUCAACACUGACGAUUAAACGUGGUUUCGAUUCAGUAAAGCCUAUAAGCACGCAACCAUAAUUGCUUUUGAACCACACAAUGGCAACUGGCUCUUUUUUUUCAUUUUUUCCUUUUUGAAUGACCGAGAAAUCUGUCAGGGGCCAACCCUUAGGACCACCUACAGCCUUUGAAACUCGAAGAUAAAGGGAACACCCCCUACCCUUCUCCACCUAAAUACCAGGCUUAGUUUGCAUGGUGCAGGGCUCGAACCUGUGACCUAAAUCACAAGUCUCUUAACCUUUACCACUUGAACUUAGCCUGAGGCAAAAGUAAUGCGACCGGUGUUCAUCAACCAUUACUAAAUACUUCAGCGAGGAAAAAGGUGUUCAACAAGGAUUUUCUUCAGUGAGCUUCGCGCAUACAUGUGUCAAUUGACCUGAACGACAGAUUUGCAUCAAAACUUACAAAAAUUGUUGAAACCCCCUGUCUCAUCCCAUUUGCAGCUACUGACUCAUGUGUGGAAAAAUUCGCCAAAGAAGAACACAUUCAGUAAAGCCAAGAAAGAGAAUAUAAAGUGUAACAUGCAAUUUUAAUAAGAUAGUAUAUUCAAGGCCCUACAUAAAACCAAGAAUAGUAUAUCCAAGGCCCUACAUAAAACCAAGAACUGAGCAUGUUUAUAACAGAAGCAUAGCUGAGCUGGUGCUAGCAGCUUAUUUCUUCACAGAAACAACAUGAUCAUUUAUAGGGUUUGGAGCAAUCGGAUUUUCGAAGUCAAGAAACAUAGCAGCAAAUUCUUCGCAGAUUUGAAGAAUUACCUGAACAAAAUCCCCAAAACUAGCAUUUCAGAAUAACGGACACCAAGAAAGCAAAGAGUUGAAGAGAAACCGGUGGGAAAUUGUUGCUAAAGAAAGAAAACUGAAACGUUUUUGGGUGCUGUCUUGGCCUGAGGUAUGUAGCGGUGGGUCGUGUGUGGGUGGGACGAAACGAGCUGGAU
rnacentral:lncRNA from 1 species